AGAAUGACGUGACUACAGUCGACGACUCACUCUUCGAUGAGAGACUACCAUCACAAUAUACCACCAGAUCGCCAAUGUUCAGCACGAACGUGAAGUGGCUCAUCGCUGUUUUAGACUGCGUGAUGCUCAAGCUUCGGUCCGAGGUGCCUGAAACUAGAGCCUCUGCCGAAAAGGCCGUAUUCGACGAGCUACAGUCCUGGCAGAACCAGCUUCAGCGGUGCAGCUCCGUUGACGAGUUCAUCAUCAUAUCACGACUGAUGUGAAUAGGCGAUGCUUUCAUAUAUUCUAUUCUACAGAGUAAAUAAACAAUUUCGUUGCUA